rnacentral:rRNA from 1 species
AACGUAGGUGGCGAGCGUUAUCCGGAUUCAUUGGGCGUAAAGAGCUUGUAGGUGGCUUGAUAAGUUGGACGUGAAAACUCCGGGCUUAACUUGGAGAGGCCGUUCAAUACUGUCAGGCUGGAGGGUGUCAGAGGGAAGUAGAAUUCCAGGUGUAGCGGUGAAAUGCGUAGAUAUCUGGAGGAACACCGGUGGCGAAGGCGGCGUCCUGGACCAACACUGACACUGAGGAGCGAAAGCCAGGGGAGCAAACGGG